rnacentral:rRNA from 1 species
CAUGCAAGUCGAGGGGAAACGACAUCGAAAGCUUGCUUUUGAUGGGCGUCGACCGGCGCACGGGUGAGUAACGCGUAUCCAACCUGCCCACCACUUGGGGAUAACCUUGCGAAAGUAAGACUAAUACCCAAUGAUAUCUCUAGAAGACAUCUGAAAGAGAUUAAAGAUUUAUCGGUGAUGGAUGGGGAUGCGUCUGAUUAGCUUGUUGGCGGGGUAACGGCCCACCAAGGCGACGAUCAGUAGGGGUUCUGAGAGGAAGGUCCCCCACAUUGGAACUGAGACACGGUCCAAACUCCUACGGGAGGCAGCAGUGAGGAAUAUUGGUCAAUGGACGAGAGUCUGAACCAGCCAAGUAGCGUGCAGGAAGACGGCCCUAUGGGUUGUAAACUGCUUUUAUAAGGG